AUUGAACGCUGGCGGCAUGCUUUACACAUGCAAGUCGAACGGUAACAGGCCGCAAGGUGCUGACGAGGGGCGAACGGGUGAGUAAUGCAUCGGAACGUGCCCAGUCGUGGGGGAUAACUACUCGAAAGAGUAGCUAAUACCGCAUACGAUCUAUGGAUGAAAGCGGGGGACCGUAAGGCCUCGCGCGAUUGGAGCGGCCGAUGUCAGAUUAGGUAGUUGGUGGGGUAAAGGCUCACCAAGCCAACGAUCUGUAGCUGGUCUGAGAGGACGACCAGCCACACUGGGACUGAGACACGGCCCAGACUCCUACGGGAGGCAGCAGUGGGGAAUUUUGGACAAUGGGCGCAAGCCUGAUCCAGCAAUGCCGCGUGCAGGAAGAAGGCCUUCGGGUUGUAAACUGCUUUUGUACGGAACGAAACGGCUCUGGUUAAUACCCGGGGCUAAUGACGGUACCGUAAGAAUAAGCACCGGCUAACUACGUG
rnacentral:rRNA from 1 species